ACAUCUUCAUUUGUAGGAAAUAGAUGACCUAGUAAGCUAUCUUUGAGGAGUCCAAAGAUAUGAUAGUUUGAAGGGACAAGAUCUUGGCUGUAAGCAGAGUGUUCCAGCACCUCAAAAUCCAACUGUGUUCUAGCAUCUGAAAA